GUAAUAGUGGCCGUCUGGAGACUCAGCCUUUGCUGGGACUUAGUGGCUGGCAUGAGAGGGAGGAAAGGAUGGUUCACUUGGCCAUGCCAGCAGGAAGCUCACCACCAAAGAUGGGCUUCAGAGAAGCACCCUUUAAUUUCACUGCCUGGGCAUACCCCAGUUCCAAGGAUAACUGGUCAGGCAAGUCCCACUGAGGGGUGGCCUUGGGCUUAGCCUCCUCUCUGCACGUGGAUAGGGAACCUUAGGGGAGAGAAGGUUUCUGGCUCACCAAGGAGCCUCACAGAGUCUGGACGUGCCUGCUUCCUUUGCAAUGGCAGAGUCCAGGAUUAGUGCUGAAAAGGCCUGCAGUUCCCAUCCACUGACCCUCUCAGGUGCUCCAGCUCUCUGGCAGGCAGUAGUUAAAACCCGUCCCCCUCAGUCUCUCUGUCUAAACCCUCUGGGCCAAUAUGGCAUUAGGCUAACAAGGGUUCUGGAUUUUUGAGAUAACCAUCCAGGAAACAGAACACAUGCAAAAUAUUGCCCCAAAUCUUAGCCAUAUCCAGGAAACUACUUGUAAAUUACAAGAAAAUAUGUUUUCAUCAGACACUGAAUCCUUUUUUUUUUCUUCCAAUAAACCUGGAAAAUGGAGGGGGGACCCCAUUUUUGGAAGCAUUCUGGCUUUGCCGUUGUUCAGCUGGGUGGGGGAUCGUGGGUUAUGCAAGAGUGCCCUAGGCCUUUAAAGAGCUGUCACCUGACUCUGCUCCUGCCAGUUCGUCAGCACACAGCCUCAUGUGACUGCCCUCCAAGCAGCUGAACACACACGCAGCUCCCUGGGCUCACAUUGGUCUACUUGCACAGCCCCACCCUGGCUGCCUCCGCUUGCUCUCUGGGCUCCAGCUCUUUUCUGAAUGACCCUGCAACCCAACCUCCCUUCAUCUGUCCAAGUCCUGCUCCCUGUUCGGAUCACCACUCAACUGUCCUUCCCUCAGAAAUCAGGUCCUGGCCAAGCAGCCCUGCCCACUGUCGGCUUCCCUGGGGUUCCUGCAUGUUCUUGCAGAUCAGGCCCAUCAUUUAUCUCCCGUGCUCGUGUGAUUAUCGGGAUGCGUGUGCUACAGAGCAAGAAGUAAUCCCCUUUUGCUCAAAGCUUAGCAGAAUUCCAUUUAGGAUUCCUAAAUUUCUACCCCAC
rnacentral:lncRNA from 1 species